rnacentral:rRNA from 1 species
UACGUAGGGUCCGAGCGUUGUCCGGAAUCAUUGGGCGUAAAGAGCGUGUAGGCGGCCCGGUAAGUCCGCUGUAAAAGUCAAAGGCUCAACCUUUGAAUGUCAGUGGAUACUGCCGGGCUAGAGGAUGGUAGAGGCGAGUGGAAUUCCUGGUGUAGCGGUGGAAUGCGCAGAUAUCAGGAGGAACACCAAUAGCGAAGGCAGCUCGCUGGGACGGUACUGACGCUAAGGCGCGAAAGCGUGGGGAGCGAACAGG